CACGCCCGUCACACCAUGGAGUUGGUUCUACCCGAAGGCGAUGCGCUAACUCGCAAGAGAGGCAGUCGACCACGGUGGGGUCAGCGACUGGGGUG
rnacentral:rRNA from 1 species